GACGAACGCUGGCGGCGUGCUUAACACAUGCAAGUCGAACGGUGAAGCGCCUUCCUUUUUGGUGGGUGUGGAUGAGUGGCGAACGGGUGAGUAACACGUGAGUAACCUGCCCCCUUCUUCUGGAUAACCGCAUGAAAGUGUGGCUAAUACGGGAUAUUCUGGGUCUGUCGCAUGAUGGGUCUGGGAAAGAUAUUGUUUCGGUGGGGGAUGGGCUCGCGGCCUAUCAGCUUGUUGGUGGGGUGAUGGCCUACCAAGGCGGUGACGGGUAGCCGGCCUGAGAGGGUGGACGGUCACAAUGGGACUGAGACACGGCCCAGACUCCUACGGGAGGCAGCAGUGGGGAAUAUUGCACAAUGGGCGCAAGCCUGAUGCAGCGACGCCGCGUGAGGGAUGGAGGCCUUCGGGUUGUGAACCUCUUUCGCCAGUGAAGCAGGCCUGCCUCGUUUGUGGGUGGGUUGACAGUAGCUGGAUAAGAAGCGCCGGCUAACUACGUG
rnacentral:rRNA from 1 species